GAACUUUCCAGAGAUGGAUUGGUGCCUUCGGGAACUGUGAGACAGGUGCUGCAUGGCUGUCGUCAGCUCGUGUUGUGAAAUGUUGGGUUAAGUCCCGCAACGAGCGCAACCCUUAUCCUUUGUUGCCAGCGGUCCGGCCGGGAACUCAAAGGAGACUGCCAGUGAUAAACUGGAGGAAGGUGGGGAUGACGUCAAGUCAUCAUGGCCCUUACGACCAGGGCUACACACGUGCUACAAUGGCGCAUACAAAGAGAAGCGACCUCGCGAGAGCAAGCGGACCUCAUAAAGUGCGUCGUAGUCCGGAUUGGAGUCUGCAAUUCGACUCCAUGAAGUCGGAAUCGCUAGUAAUCGUGGAUCAGAAUGCCACGGUGAAUACGUUCCCGGGCCUUGUACACACCGCCCGUCACACCAUGGGAGUGAGUUGCAAAAGAAGUAGGUAGCUUAACCUUCGGGAGGGCGCUUACCACUUUGUGAUUCAUGACUGGGGUGAAGUCGUAACAAGGUAACCGUAGGGGAACCUGCGGUUGGAUCACCUCCUUA
rnacentral:rRNA from 1 species